rnacentral:rRNA from 1 species
GAAACUUGCCCCGAGAUGAGUUCUCCCUGAGACUUUAAGUCUCCUGAAGGAACGUUGAAGACGACGACGUUGAUAGGUCGGGUGUGUAAGCGCAGCGAUGCGUUGAGCUAACCGAUACUAAUGAACCUGUCUCUUAUACAC